UUAAAGGAAUUGACGGGGGCCCGCACAAGCGGUGGAGUAUGUGGUUUAAUUCGAUGAUACGCGAGGAACCUUACCUGGGCUCAAAUGUAUGUUGACGUAUUCUGAAAGGGAUACUUCUUCGGACAAUAUACAAGGUGCUGCAUGGUUGUCGUCAGCUCGUGCCGUGAGGUGUCGGGUUAAGUCCCAUAACGAGCGCAACCCCUAUCAUUAGUUGCCAUCAGGUCAAGCUGGGGACUCUAAUGAAACUGCCUACGCAAGUAGUGAGGAAGGUGGGGAUGACGUCAAAUCAGCACGGCCCUUACGUCCAGGGCUACACACGUGCUACAAUGGCCGGUACAAAGGGCAGCUACCUGGUGACAGGAUGCUAAUCUCAAAAGCCGGUCUCAGUUCGGAUCGGAGUCUGCAACCCGACUCCGUGAAGCUGGAAUCGCUAGUAAUCGUGAAUCAGAAUGUCACGGUGAAUACGUUCCCGGGCCUU
rnacentral:rRNA from 1 species